rnacentral:sRNA from 1 species
CCGAUGAAUACCAAAAUAAAGUAGUAACAGAAAUGGACUGAGAAGACAGCGUUCGAAUGUGACCGAGGAAGAACGGGAAUCCGUACGCGAGAGAAGUAGACUUAACACACAGAGACGUAGCGGGAUCCACUGUAUUUGAAGGGGAAUUCGGCAACGGAAGCGGAAUAUUGGGAAACUCAAUAUCGGCAAAUCAAAAAAUAUUUUAUACCCACAGCAACUGUUCACCGACUCUUCAAAUGAAUAAAAUCAUUCGAAUUGAAUCUAGCUUAUUGAACAACUGUACAAACUGAUCGGAAAGAACACAUUCAUAAAACGCACAGUUUUGGUGAUUUAAAAUCAACAAUGAACAAAAAUACAUACAUAUUUUCCGAUUGAACGUGAACGGUAGUUAUUCAAGUAUUGUUCAUGUAUGAAAGUUU